rnacentral:tRNA from 1 species
CGGGCAGUAGGCCAGUGGUAGAGCUCCCACUUCGUAUGCGGGAAGACCUGGGUUCGAUUCCCGGCUGAUCAC